GGGGAGGCUUCCUAAAGAGGGGCUUUGUACAAGGGGUUGGCGCACGCCUGUCAUCCCAGCGCUUGGGAGGCUGAGGCAGGAGGAUCGCCAUGAGUUCAAGGCCAGCCUGGACUACACAGGGAGACCCUGUCUCAACCCUCUCAAAGAAGCAGGACCCAGGGUGUGUGCGCUCCUGAGUGCUGUCGCCCGCGGCGUGGCUCUGACAGAAGGCAAACCAGUUCCCUCCGUCCGUGGGAAGGUGGCCCCUAAGAGCUCCGCUCCUCGAGGUGUACCUGUGAUCUGAGCCUCAGUUUCCUCAUCCACAACCCACCAACCAGGGUCUACAGGAGGCUGGGAAGUGCGUUCGACCCAGGCGACCACUGCCCGGGCCCACAUGGUGCGGUGGCCUUGGGCAGCCAAGGUGGCGUCCUGAACCCUGGCGGACCAGGGGCUGGCGGAUCCGGGAACCUCCUGGGCCGGAAGUGGGCGUGGCUGGAGAUCUGCACGGUUUUGUCUUCUGUUCCUGGCCUCAGGCUCGUUUGCUGACCAGAUCAAAGGAGGUCAUUUAUCUGGGUAAAAAGGGCCAGGGGCUUAUUCAACGCUUGCUCUGAAGGAAUGGAGGGGCCCAGUCACCUCAAAUCGCUGUCUGCUGGGGCUCAGGCUUGGAGUCUUUCAUGGGGGGACAGAGGGGGCGGACGGGGAGAGGCAGUGCCUGUCUCCAGGAGGCUUCAGCUCAGCGCCCCUUUUCUUGUGGAAAGGAAGCCGGGCUCCCCGGCUCCAGCACCAGCAUAUUCUGUCCCUUCUUGGGGGCUGAGGAGAGGGGCUGGUUUGCUAUGUGCUCAGCAGGAGGAAGCUUGGAGACCUUAUCUCUAAAAGAAAACAUGUCUCACCUUGAAAGUUCCACACCUGUCAUCCCACCCCUCGGGGAGACUGAGGCAGGAGGAUGCUGUGAGUUCAAAGCCAGCCUGGGCAUGGAAAUGGUGCUGCACAGGCGUCCCAGGAGGACCCUAAAGUGGGGCUGGGGUCCCAGGCUCACCCACACACAGGGGCAGCGUGCAGGCCCACUGACUUGGUACAGAAGGACACUCAGGCACUCAGCAAGGCGUGAGGCAAAGUCUCAGGCAGCCGGCUUCCAGGCAGAGGCAUGUCAGAGCCAGCUUGGGAUAGUUCUGUUUUGGCAGUGGAAAUCCGCAGAAUUUUUGAAUCCGUAGAAAGUGUGGGCUUGGUUUGCAGGAGAAAAGCAGUGGCCCAGGUACAGGCAGGGAGAGAUGUCCUGGUUUACAGAGAAAGCCACGUCUACUGUUUUUUUGUUUUUUGUUUUUCGGGGAGUUUUGGUACCGGGGAUUGAACUUGGGACCCUGCACUUUCGAGGCAGGCAGCAGAACUACUGAGCUGAAUCACCGGCUUGGUCUAUUGUUUUUUUUAAAGAUGGAUGAUCCAAGAUGUUUGACCUAACUUAUGGAUUUAGGGUAUCUUUAAGGAAUACGGGGGGCAAUAAGCCUAGAUGAAAAGAAGCGUGAACAAACCUGGGGAAUAGAGACAUGGGUAACCUUCAGUAACUUUGCAUUCUGAAGUUGUAGUCUUAAAAAUACAACUUUCAGGGCUGGGGAUGUAGCUCAGUGGUUCCGCUGCCUGCCUCGCAAGCACAAGGUCCUGAGUUCAAUCCGCGAUACCAAAAAACAAAACAAAAAUGCAACUUUCAAAAUUACAAUUUUCUGGGCUGGGGAUUUAGCUCAGUGGUUCUGGUGCCUGCCUCACAAAAUUACAAUUUUCCUUGUCUCCUUUCUACCUAUUAGUGUCUCCUGUUCUGUCUCAGUAAGAAGAAGACACCUUGCCUCAUCUUCCAAACUCCUACUCAUACCUCAAAACCCCAUUUACAAUACCACCUCCUCUUCGUGACUAUAAAAGCCCUGGCCUCUCCCCCUGGGCUCCUCUAAUCCUUUCUCUCUCCUCAGUUUCUUCAUCUAUAAAAUGAGGGAAACCCUGUUUUGGGAGAGGUCUGGGGAAUGUCCUUGGCUCCCAGCAAGCUCAUGAUCAACGCAAUGCCCGGUACAUGAAUGGCGAUUAUGCGUCCUAGGUAGAGUGGGGACACUGCAGGCUGAGGCAGCCAUCGCUUGCGCUUUCCUGAGUGGCAUCAGGGACUUGGGCCUGUGACUCAGCUGCUCUCUGGGAGGCCCUGCUUCCCCUGAGGGGCCUCAGCUCUUGGGGUGAAGCCCAGGCCCCUGGGUUUCCUGCUCUGUGGCUUCAGGAAGGAAGCGGCCGCCUGCCCCAGGUAGGGACAGCCAUUGAGGGCCCAGGGCAAGGUCCCCUCCCCGAAGACUGGCACACCGGUGUGCAAGCAGGCCAGGCCAAUGUGGCGGUCGCCCCGGGGUGCCCUUCCGUGCCUGGGCCCUGCCUGGGGCUCACCGCCUCCACUGCCAGCUCUGGGCCUGUUAUCUCCUCCUGGGCGGGGGCUGCCAUGCGGCACGCAGGAGCCUGCACCUCCUGGUGGCUCUGGUUUUCAGAAAGUGGGGCCCCUUGUGAGGCCAGGCCGGCUGUUUGCUCGGGGUGACCUCUGGACCGCCAGGUGGCGCACACUCCUAUCUUGGCAGGUGGGGCCCUUUAACCCACCCCUCCACUGGGAAUGAUGCCCUGGUCUGGGGGUCCCCAACCACACCUCUGGCACAGAGCAACGAAUCGGCUGAGUCCCUGCCCGAGUCAGCGUUUGUUUUUUUAAGGUGAAAUUCACAUAACAGGAAAUGAACCAUUUAAAGGGGCCCUGGGGACAGUCACGGACUUGCACGAGUGAUCUAGGGGUGACAGGAGGCCCCCACGGACAGAGGGACAGAUUACAUCUCCCAACCUGCUAGGUGUCUGAAACACAGAGUUCCUGUUCCCUAAAAUCCAAGAAUAACUUUUAGGGACAAUGGAGGUUUAGAGUAGGAAAUAUUUAUUGAGGGAAAGACAGCUUCUGAGACAGACAGAAUGGGACCCGGAAAGCGGGUUGCCCACGAGGCCUCUUCUCAAAGAAGUUUUAUACAGCAAAGUCACGAGGUGGGCAUCGGGUGGGACAAUCUAUGGUCAACCGGUAAGAUUGCAGUGAACCCUCUCGGGUAACACUGCUCCGGGGCGAAGGCAGCUCACGUGGCAGGUGUGCAGGAAAGGAACAAGGCCCUUCCAGGAAGGCGUGGGGCAGGGCCUCGGUCCCCCGCGCAGGUGAUUGAUGCCUAUUUACCAGUCAUUGUUUCUCCCUGGCGAAGCACCUGUGAACAUUUCACCCCUGACUUGAGGCCUGGCCUCCAACAGCUGCGCCUCCACCCACAGCUGUAAAGUGUCUUCGUCUUCGGCACUGACUCCUUUGAGGGCCCAGCCAUGUUGACUGCCUACAAUAUUUCUACCUAACUUAGCUGUCUAUGAUACAAGCACCAGCCAGGCAUGGUGGCACAGGCCUAGCAUCCCAGUACUCAGGAGGCUGAGGCAGGAGAACCUGGGAGUUUGAAGCCAACCUGGGUUCCUUGAGACCCUGUCUUAAUAAGGAAACAACAGAAAAACAAACACAAACAAGUGUGUACAACCACCACUUUACCUCUGCUUCUGGAGCAUUUCCCACCCUCGUAGCAGACCUGCCCCUGUCUGCUCCGCAGCCUCCUGGCAGCCACCCAGCUGCGUCCUGUCUCUGGGUUUUCCUGCUCUGGUCUGGAAAGUUCUUAUCAACGACCAAGAUGAGACACUGGCAUGUACCAGUUCCCUGAGAGAAAUUAAAAUUCGGAAAGAAAACCAAAACAACAGGCUCACACAGCCUCGGGCGGCUGGCUUCGAGGGUCAGCCCGGUGGUCGCCGGGGUCGUGUCUGUGCCUUUCCACCAUCGAGUGAUAGCCCGCCGGGUGGCUGCUCACGCUCGUGGGCCUGUGCAUCUGCCGACAGGCCCUUGGCUGCGGCCAGCUCCGGCUGUUGUGAGCAGUGCCUUUGUGAGCCAUGUGUGCAGGGUCUGCUCGCACGCUGUUCGGGAUUCUCCGGGAACUGACUGACUCCAGCAUCUGCCCGUUGUGACCUCGAGGUUCUGGGGUGAGGCCAUCAGGAGCUGCGUCUGUUGGAGGAGGGCAUGGCGACCGCCACCGACUCUCCCAGGCGACAGCUCCCUCCAGGGGCCCCGUGGGGUGACAGGGGCUCAAGCCAGUCUCGUGUUUACCAUGCAAAGCAGCGCUGACCCGGAGGUCACUGCCCUGCAGGAAGCCAGCCGAGUUUCGCGCUGGCCCCUCAGAGUCCACGCCCCGACCUGUCCCGCCCAGGGGCCCUCAGGGGGCGCUUUAUCCAGCAUUGCACAGGUGAGGAAACUGAGGCGCAGCCGGACACCCUUUCCUCCUCCGGAAGGAACAGGGGUCGGGGAGGAAGAGGAGGUGAGUCCUCCCUGAGCCCAAACCCCUAAAUGCACAACGUCCCGGACCUCUCCAGCCUGCAGCCUGCGGGUGUCAGGGGCUCCAGAACCUUGGAACCCCUGAAAGGAUCUGAGGACCCCUGGGUUCAACAUGCCUCCCAGCUAAGGUUUCCUCAGUGGAACACACGCUGGGCCUGGCCGGGGCCCAGCACCGGGGAACGCAGGGCGUGGCUUGCAACCCUCCAGCGCGGGAACUCCUCCCUCCCUCGCUGUGGCCCCGAGGGUGGGCCCGGGAGGACCAGAGCGGAC
ensembl:lncRNA